UACGUAGGGUGCGAGCGUUAAUCGGAAUUACUGGGCGUAAAGCGUGCGCAGGCGGUUUUGUAAGCCGGAUGUGAAAUCCCCGGGCUUAACCUGGGAAUGGCAUUCGGGACUGCAAGGCUGGAGUGCGGCAGAGGAGACUGGAAUUCCUGGUGUAGCAGUGAAAUGCGUAGAUAUCAGGAGGAACACCGUUGGCGAAGGCAGGUCUCUGGGCUGACACUGACGCUCAUGCACGAAAGCGUGGGGAGCAAACAGG
rnacentral:rRNA from 1 species